GACGAACGCUGGCGGCGUGCUUAACACAUGCAAGUCGAACGGAGUGGCGAACGGGUGAGUAAAACGUGUGAGAUCUGGCUUGCAAUACGGGAUAAGCUUGGGAAAAUGGGUCUAAUACCGGAUAGUGCAAGAUGAGAUCGCGGCCGAGCAGCUUGUUGGUGGGGUAAUGGCCUAACAAGGCGGAGACGGGUAGCAGGCCUGAGAGGGUGUACGGCCACAUUGGGACUGAGAUACGGCCCAGUGUCGUACGGGAGGCAGCAGUGGGGAAGAUUGCACAACGGGCGGAAGUCUGAUGCAGCGACGCCGCGUGUGUGAUGAAGUCUUUCUGGUUGUAAACUCCUUUCGACAGGGACGCGGUACCUGUAUAAGAAGCACCGGCUAACUACGUGCCAGCAGCCGCGGUAAUUC
rnacentral:rRNA from 1 species